GACGAACGCUGGCGGCGUGCUUAACACAUGCAAGUCGAACGGAAAGGCCCUGCUUUUGUGGGGUGCUCGAGUGGCGAACGGGUGAGUAACACGUGAGUAACCUGCCCUUGACUUUGGGAUAACUUCAGGAAACUGGGGCUAAUACCGGAUAGGAGCUCCUGCUGCAUGGUGGGGGUUGGAAAGUUUCGGCGGUUGGGGAUGGACUCGCGGCUUAUCAGCUUGUUGGUGGGGUAGUGGCUUACCAAGGCUUUGACGGGUAGCCGGCCUGAGAGGGUGACCGGCCACAUUGGGACUGAGAUACGGCCCAGACUCCUACGGGAGGCAGCAGUGGGGAAUAUUGCACAAUGGGCGGAAGCCUGAUGCAGCAACGCCGCGUGCGGGAUGACGGCCUUCGGGUUGUAAACCGCUUUCGCUUGUGACGAAGCGUGAGUGACGGUAAUGGGUAAAGAAGCACCGGCUAACUACGUGCCAGCAGCCGCGGUGAUACGUAGGGUGCGAGCGUUGUCCGGAUUUAUUGGGCGUAAAGGGCUCGUAGGUGGUUGAUCGCGUCGGAAGUGUAAUCUUGGGGCUUAACCCCUGAGCGUGCUUUCGAUACGGGUUGACUUGAGGAAGGUAGGGGAGAAUGGAAUUCCUGGUGGAGCGGUGGAAUGCGCAGAUAUCAGGAGGAACACCAGUGGCGAAGGCGGUUCUCUGGGCCUUUCCUGACGCUGAGGAGCGAAAGCGUGGGGAGCGAACAGGCUUAGAUACCCUGGUAGUCCACGCUGUAAACGGUGGGUACUAGGUGUGGGGUCCAUUCCACGGGUUCCGUGCCGUAGCUAACGCUUUAAGUACCCCGCCUGGGGAGUACGGCCGCAAGGCUAAAACUCAAAGGAAUUGACGGGGCCCCGCACAAGCGGCGGAGCAUGCGGAUUAAUUCGAUGCAACGCGUAGAACCUUACCUGGGUUUGACAUGGAUCGGGAGUGCUCAGAGAUGGGUGUGCCUCUUUUGGGGUCGGUUCACAGGUGGUGCAUGGCUGUCGUCAGCUCGUGUCGUGAGAUGUUGGGUUAAGUCCCGCAACGAGCGCAACCCUUGUUCACUGUUGCCAGCACGUUAUGGUGGGGACUCAGUGGAGACCGCCGGGGUCAACUCGGAGGAAGGUGGGGAUGACGUCAAGUCAUCAUGCCCCUUAUGUCCAGGGCUUCACGCAUGCUACAAUGGCUGGUACAGAGAGUGGCGAGCCUGUAAGGGUGAGCGAAUCUCGGAAAGCCGGUCUCAGUUCGGAUUGGGGUCUGCAACUCGACCUCAUGAAGUCGGAGUCGCUAGUAAUCGCAGAUCAGCAACGCUGCGGUGAAUACGUUCCCGGG
rnacentral:rRNA from 1 species